rnacentral:rRNA from 1 species
AGCGCAGGCGGACCGGCAAGUUGGGAGUGAAAUCCAUGGGCUCAACCUGUGGAUUGCUUUCAAAACUGCUGGCCUUGAGUAGUGCAGAGGUAGGUGGAAUUCCCGGUGUAGCGGUGGAAUGCGUAGAUAUCGGGAGGAACACCAGUGGCGAAGGCGACCUACUGGGCACCAACUGACGCUGAGGCUCGAAAGCAUGGGUAGCAAACA